UCGAAAGUUGUGUUUGACAACUGAAGUCUUAAAUUUGACUAAGAUUUACGUUCAGUGGGAGCUACUUUGCCACCUGGGAGCAACAGAGGAUUUAGUGUAUUUGCUUCUGAAAAAGAAUGCAAUUAGUCAGGUCAACCUCACCUGAUGUAAGGUGAUCAAUGCUUGCAUUGAUCACCUUCACCCAAGAGCAAACUUCUUUUUAAAAGAUAACAAAAGAAUGUCAAACAAUGUCUAACCAGGUGAACAAUAGGCACGACACCCCCUGCUGCUUUGCCAGGUGACCUCAUCAGAGCAUCACCAAUCAGACCCCACUCAUGCAAACAAAGACAAACACAGCUGCAGUUAUCUUCAGAAAGAAGGGAGCAUGAAAAGGGAAGGGAGCAGAGCAUUGCAAGGUGGAUGGCUUGAAAGAGAGGAAUAAAGUCAACUUUCUGGCCAUCUGGCUAAUACUUUUGCAUUAAGUGGGGAGCAAUGAAAGGCUAAGGAGUAGUGAUGCUUCACUUCAUGCCACAUGAUGCUUAGCAACAAUAAAGUGACUUAACUGGGCCCACUGGGCCCAAAACCAUCUUCCUCAAGGUACACCACUGACUGAACUUUGAGUCCUGAGAAGAUGUGAUGAGUUCAAGAGUCACAGGCCAUACUGGAAACCCUAGUUCAUCAGAGAAGCUUUACCUGACCAACACAGAUCCAGUACUGAUCACUGUGUUUGGACAGCAGCUGCAACAAAUUAUUGUAUUGCAUUAGGA